CCUACGGGAGGCAGCAGUCGGGAAUCUUGCGCAAUGGGCGAAAGCCUGACGCAGCGACGCCGCGUGCGGGAAGAAGGCCUUCGGGUUGUAAACCGCUUUCAGGAGGGACGAAGCCACUCGGGUUAAUAGCCCAGAGGGUGACGGUACCUCCAGAAGAAGCCCCGGCUAACUACGUGCCAGCAGCCGCGGUAAUACGUAGGGGGCGAGCGUUGUCCGGAAUUAUUGGGCGUAAAGAGCGUGUAGGCGGUUCGGUAAGUCUGCCGUGAAAACCUGGGGCUCAACCCCGGGCGUGCUGUGGAAACUGCCGGGCUAGAGGAUGGUAGAGGCGAGUGGAAUUCCCGGUGUAGCGGUGAAAUACGCAGAUAUCGGGAGGAACACCAGUAGCGAAGGCGGCUCGCUGGGCCAUUCCUGACGCUGAGACGCGAAAGCUAGGGGAGCGAACAGGAUUAGAUACCCUGGUAGUCCUAGCCGUAAACGAUGAACACUAGGUGUGGGGGGAGUCGAAUCCCUCUGUGCCGCAGCCAACGCGAUAAGUGUUCCGCCUGGGGAGUACGGCCGCAAGGCUAAAACUCAAAAGAAUUGACGGGGGCCCGCACAAGCAGCGGAGCAUGUUCUUUAAUUCGAUGCAACGCGAAGAACCUUACCUGGGCUUGACAUGGUGCUGCAAGCGCACGGAAACGUGUGACCUUCGAGGGUGCACCACAGAUGCUGCAUGGCUGUCGUCAGCUCGUGUCGUGAGAUGUUGGGUUAAGUCCCGCCACGAGCGCAACCCCCGUGGUGUGUUGCCCUCCAUUAAGUUGGGGACUCACCCAGACUGCCGGUGACAACCGGAGGAAG
rnacentral:rRNA from 1 species